GAUGAACGCUAGCUACAGGCUUAACACAUGCAAGUCGAGGGGCAUCAGGAAGAAAGCUUGCUUUCUUUGCUGGCGACCGGCGCACGGGUGAGUAACACGUAUCCAACCUGCCCUUUACUCGGGGAUAGCCUUUCGAAAGAAAGAUUAAUACCCGAUAGCAUAAUGAUUCCGCAUGGUUUCAUUAUUAAAGGAUUCCGGUAAAGGAUGGGGAUGCGUUCCAUUAGGUUGUUGGUGAGGUAACGGCUCACCAAGCCUUCGAUGGAUAGGGGUUCUGAGAGGAAGGUCCCCCACAUUGGAACUGAGACACGGUCCAAACUCCUACGGGAGGCAGCAGUGAGGAAUAUUGGUCAAUGGGCGUUAGCCUGAACCAGCCAAGUAGCGUGAAGGAUGAAGGCUCUAUGGGUCGUAAACUUCUUUUAUAUAAGAAUAAAGUGCAGUAUGUAUACUGUUUUGUAUGUAUUAUAUGAAUAAGGAUCGGCUAACUCCGUGCCAGCAGCCGCGGUAAUACGGAGGAUCCGAGCGUUAUCCGGAUUUAUUGGGUUUAAAGGGAGCGUAGGUGGACUGGUAAGUCAGUUGUGAAAGUUUGCGGCUCAACCGUAAAAUUGCAGUUGAUACUGUCAGUCUUGAGUACAGUAGAGGUGGGCGGAAUUCGUGGUGUAGCGGUGAAAUGCUUAGAUAUCACGAAGAACUCCGAUUGCGAAGGCAGCUCACUGGACUGCAACUGACACUGAUGCUCGAAAGUGUGGGUAUCAAACAGG
rnacentral:rRNA from 2 species